AGUGAACGCUGGCGGUAGGCCUAACACAUGCAAGUCGAACGGCAGCACAGUAAGAGCUUGCUCUUACGGGUGGCGAGUGGCGGACGGGUGAGGAAUACAUCGGAAUCUACUUUUUCGUGGGGGAUAACGUAGGGAAACUUACGCUAAUACCGCAUACGACCUACGGGUGAAAGCAGGGGAUCUUCGGACCUUGCGCGAUUGAAUGAGCCGAUGUCGGAUUAGCUAGUUGGCGGGGUAAAGGCCCACCAAGGCGACGAUCCGUAGCUGGUCUGAGAGGAUGAUCAGCCACACUGGAACUGAGACACGGUCCAGACUCCUACGGGAGGCAGCAGUAGGGAAUAUUGGACUAUGGGCGCAAGCCUGAUCCAGCCAUACCGCGUGGGUGAAGAAGGCCUUCGGGUUGUAAAGCCCUUUUGUUGGGAAAGAAAAGCAGCAGGUUAAUACCCCGCUGUUCUGACGGUACCCAAAGAAUAAGCACCGGCUAACUUCGUG
rnacentral:rRNA from 1 species